AGAUUAAGUUAUUAAGGGCGCACGGUGGAUGCCUUGGCACUAGAAGCCGAUGAAGGACGUUACUAACAACGAUAUGCUUUGGGGAGCUGUAAGUAAGCUUUGAUCCAGAGAUUUCCGAAUGGGGAAACCCAGCAUGAGUUAUGUCAUGUUAUCGAUAUGUGAAUACAUAGCAUAUCAGAAGGCACACCCGGAGAACUGAAACAUCUUAGUACCCGGAGGAAGAGAAAGAAAAUUCGAUUCCCUUAGUAGCGGCGAGCGAAACGGGAAGAGCCCAAACCAACAAGCUUGCUUGUUGGGGUUGUAGGACACUCUAUACGGAGUUACA
rnacentral:rRNA from 1 species